UUUGUGAUCCACCCCCAGAAUUUAACUCUGAGGCCUUAGAUAAGGAUUGGCACACUGGUCAGCUUCAGUGUCAUGAUAACCUUGUUAUGUAAUUCUCCUGCUGGGCAGCGCGUUAUAGUGUAUAGUGGUUUGCAGCUCAUCUAGGCCAAAUUUGAAUUCUGGUAAACAAGAUGUGCGCGCUUACUCCUUGCCGAUUUGAAUGUGAAGACUUUGCAUCGUAUAAACCACAAAAAUAACCUCGGGAUUUAUUAACUCUGAAUGCAUGGUGUUAGUUCCAUCAUCCGUUUAAAUUCCCACAUUCAAAAGACCCGCCGUUAGUGAAGGCAAAGGUGCCGUGCUAUUCUUUCUAAAGGGCAGAUUCCUUGUCAGCGUUUUCAGUGUAUGUGAUUCUAACGUCUAACUUUAGAUCCGCCGCUCUGUUC